GGGAAUCUGCCCUGGGGUACGGGAUAACUCUUCGAAAGGGGAGCUAAUACGGUAUGAUGUCUUCGGACCAAAGAUUUAUCGCCCUGGGAUGAGCCCGCGUAGGAUUAGCUAGUUGGUGGGGUAAAGGCCUACCAAGGCGACGAUCCUUAGCUGGUCUGAGAGGAUGAUCAGCCACACUGGGACUGAGACACGGCCCAGACUCCUACGGGAGGCAGCAGUGGGGAAUAUUGGACAAUGGGCGAAAGCCUGAUCCAGCAAUGCCGCGUGAGUGAUGAAGGCCUUAGGGUUGUAAAGCUCUUUUACCCGGGAAGAUAAUGACUGUACCGGGAGAAUAAGCCCCGGCUAACUCCGUGCCAGCAGCCGCGGUAAUACGGAGGGGGCUAGCGUUGUUCGGAAUUACUGGGCGUAAAGCGCACGUAGGCGGCUUUGUAAGUUAGAGGUGAAAGCCUGGUGCUCAACACCAGAAUUGCCUUUAAGACUGCAUCGCUUGAACGUCGGAGAGGUGAGUGGAAUUCCGAGU
rnacentral:rRNA from 1 species